AACGUAGGAGGCGAGCGUUAUCCGGAUUCACUGGGCGUAAAGCGCAUGUAGGUGGUUCGUUAAGUAGGUGGUGAAAGCCCCUGGCUCAACUGGGGGAGGUCCACCUAAACUGGCGGACUGGAGGUCCAGAGAGGAGAGUGGAAUUCCCGGUGUAGCGGUGGAAUGCGUAGAGAUCGGGAGGAACACCAGUGGCGAAGGCGGCUCUCUGGCUGGAUUCUGACACUGAGAUGCGAAAGCGUGGGGAG
rnacentral:rRNA from 1 species